rnacentral:misc_RNA from 1 species
CUGCGCGUUCGCACGCACUCUUGCCAGCCUCGUCUCCGCGUGUGUUCAAGCGCACCUGCACAAUCGCCCCGCUGAUCACGGACGUCCACGCCAGCCACCGCCGCUCCUCUUCUCUCGCCUUCCGCCUCCCUCCCUGCCUGCCUGCCUACCCGCGUGCAGAGCCCCAUUCAGGAGUGCGACCUGCCUUUCUGUCGUCUACCCUUGCAACAACGCGUAUGCACGUAGUGGCCGACGUGUUCGUGGUGGAAUGACACGCUGCAGGUAGCUAGUCACAGCGGGAUGACAUUGGUGAAUGUGGCGCAGCUCCUGGCUGUUUGUGUCCGUGCAUCGCUGGCGGCGCAGCGCUAUGUGAUGCUGAACCUUCUCAAGCUGCCAGAGGCGGGGGCGAAGAUGGCCCAUGCACACAACUCAUCGCUAGAAGCCUCUGUGACGCACCCGCGCACAGUGCUUGACCUCUCCGAUACUGAGAAAGGGGUGCUGAUGGAUUUGCUGCACCACGCCGUGAGUGUUGAUGUCAAGUCGCGCCUUGGCCACCAGAAUGGCGACGCCGCGGACGAUCUCGUCACGACGGCGGAUGUCCUCGUUCAGACUGUAGUGGUGCGUGCGCUGAAGGAAUCCUUCCCUGCAUUUCCAUUCACUGUAGUUGGCGAAGAGGAUCAGCCGAGCAGCGCUGUCGAAAAAGAGGCGGAGGCGUGCAUGGCCAUGCACUACAAGGCGAUCUCCGCAAUGCCGUAUGAGGCUGAGUUGUACGCGCACCUGCAGGCGAGCGAGAAAUCCAACGCUGGCGCUGACGCUGCGGUCGUCCUGCACGCGGACUCCGAUGAGGCAAUGCGACGUCGCCUGGGCAUUUUCAUUGAUCCCAUCGACGGCACGAAUUGCUUUGUGGACGGCGUCUGGCAAGCCCCGAUGACGCUUGUGGGCAUCACGCUGGACGGUGUUCCCAUCGCCGGCGUCAUGAACCGCAUUUUUUACUACCCGCUGACGUGCACCGACGGGCCAGCCGCGACGGAGCCGCAGGAGAAGACCUGUGUGCCCGGUCUGUCGGUCGUGUUGAACACGCCGACUCUUGCGUCGCCGUUUGUGGUAUUUGACGGAGAGCUGGUGCCGGCACCGGGGCAGAUGGAGCCGCAGCUAGAGUGCACCUGCGAGACGCCGCUUGCCGUGUGUCGCUCGAGCACCACGAAGGAGGUGUUUCUCCAGCGCUUGCUGACACAGCUGGAGCCCUGCAACGCCGUUUAUGCCCGUGGUGCGGGCUACAAGCAGUAUCAUCUGCUCAAGAAAAUUCUGACGGGGCACCAUGUAGCGCAUGAGGCCAUCACCCCAGCGGACAUCUUUGUGUGCCCACCGGCGACCAUCAAGAAGUGGGACUGCUGUGCCGCGCACGCAUUCCUCUACGCGCUCGGGGGCGAGAUUUUCGACCAGAAUGGUGUGCCGAUUCGCUAUCCGGUCGUUGGAACAUAUAGUGCAGCAACCACCUCCCUGCCUGAGAUUGCCGUGCUGACGGACGGGCUGGUAGCGGUGACUCCGUACGCAAUGCAUGAGGUGGCUCGACGUCUGGGGUGGACGCUUACGCUCGCGCCGUAAGUGAGCGACGCGCGAAAAGCAGAGGACGUGCUCAACGGCUCUCGCAGACAGAAAGUUUCGAAUCCUUCCCGAUGUCACGCACCGAUUAAAUGCCGCGCUUCCCUCCUUGCUUGUCGUUUUCUUUUUUGUUCCAAUUCGAUUCUCUGUUUCGCUUGCUACUACUCUCUUCUUGUCACCGGUCUGUGCUGCGCAUGUGUGUGCGUGGCAGACAUGUGCCGCAGCACCAAAUC